CUUUUACUCUUCUUCCAUAAUCACUCAUCUUGUUGGACUUGGAGCGGCCAUUGAUAAUGAAAUGUGGUUGACCGUCGUUUGCCGUCUUGUCUCUGCUCUAAUCUAUCAAAUCAAUUUAACGUCUAAAUCGUCCGAUGUUCAAACGGAUCCAGCUAAGUUGGAAAAAAUGAUUCGUAAAAAGAUUCGCAAAAAUCCUGAUCUAUUGAAAUCACUGAGAUCCGAGCCUUUCCAAUGGUCAACUUUGAUUAAAAAUUUUUUAGUGACCUUCUAAUGUGAGCCAAAAAAGGUCAACUUCCGUCUGCAUAAACCCGUUACAAGUUUUGACCAAACAUGCAAAGAUGAUACCUUUAAGGCACAAUUAUACAAGUUGAAUGAUGAAAAGGAUGACAAAGAAACUUGCUUUUACUGUUGAUAAGAGGAUUCAAAGCGCCAAGACAAGUGAAACCAGGCUAACCUUAUUUCAAUCCUUUUUUAUCCUUUCGUUACAACAAUCAUAAUCACAGCUUUCCAAGCAUUUUGUUGUGAGCAAACCUGCCUUUUCAAUUGAACCUUUAUUUAACCAAAUAUUGUGCAUUCAACAAUUAAAAUGCAAUGAAUUAAUAAACAUGAACCGAGCGAA